GCCAAGGCCCUGGCAUUCCAGCCAGGGGACAAGUAAAAAGAGGCCGUGGGAGCUGGUGAGUGUACAGGAAAACACAGGAAGGAACUGGAGAAAGAGGUCCUCUAAAGCUGCGAAUGAAGCCCUGGGCUCCUCCCUGAGCUGUACCUAUGUGGAACUGAUGUGAAGCAUCGAGAGAAGGUUUAAGAACUGAAUCACUAUGUAGGCUACCAUCUACAGGCUGGUCCUUGGGUGGCACAGAGGCAGGGUGGGGUCAGACACCACCUCAAGAGCUUUGAAAACUAAUCUGAUAUUAGUACCAUAGCCCAGAGAAAGUGGGUCAGUCCUUCUGAUUGGAAACUAACCAGGUUGACUGUUUGAUAAAACUCAAAAUCAACAUUCUCAAGAGGAUUUCAAUGGGUUCCAGAGUUUCAUAAAAUAAUAUUCAAAAUGUAUAGGAUGAACUCAAAAACUACUCAACAUAAAAAUAAGCACAAAAAUCUCAACAACGCCUCAAGGAAAAGACAAAAGAUGCCAACCCUAAGAUAACUUAAAUGUUGGAAAUAUCAGACAAAGAUUAUAAAGCUAUGUUCCACAAAGUGAAGGAUAAGACUAUUAAAGCAAAUGGACAGGUAUAAGGUCUCAUCAAAGAAGUAGAAGCAAUAGAAAAGAACCAACAGGAAUGAUCAAAUCUGAACAACACAGAGAAAAAGGGGGUUUUUGUUGUUUUUUUUUAAGAGAGUCUCAGAAACCUAUGAAUGUAUAUCAAAUGGUAUAAUGAUCAAAUAAAUGAAAUCUCAGAAGAAGAAAAGAAAGAGAUUGGUGCAGAAAAAAAAUUUGAAAAAAUAAUGAAAACCUCUCAAAUUUGGUAAAAGACACACAUUUAAAGAUUCAAGAAAUUAAGGGAGUACCAAACUGGACAAAUCCAGAGAAAGCUAUACCAGCUACAAUAUAUCUGCUGAAAAUCAAAGAUAAAAAAGAAUUAUGUAGCAACCAGAAAAAAAUAUAUUACACAGGGAAACAAUGACUCAAGCAACUACAGUCUUCUCACCUGAAACUAUUGAGGGCAAAAGGCAGGAAAACUUUAUUUUCAUAUAUAUGAAAAAAGGCCUAGAAUUAUAUAUUGUGAAAAAGAAUCCUUCAGGAAUAAAAGCAACAUAAAAACAAUCUCAAACAACAGAAAGAGAAAGAAAAUUGAUUGCUAAUAGACCUGCUCUAAAAGAAAUGCUAAUUGGAAUUCUUCAUGGCACAGGAAAACUUGGAAUUUCAGUAAUAAAGAGCAAUAGAAAUGGUAAAUAUCUGGAAAGACAUCCCAUGUUCAUGUUUUCUUCUGAUACAUUUAAGCACUGUAUAUGACUAUUGAAAGCAAACAUGAUAACAUUGUCCAAUGGUGUUUUAGUGUAUUUAGAUGUAAUAUACAUGGCAAUACAACAUGGAGGAUAGUAAAGAAAUGUAUAUCAUUGUAAGAUUUCUACCG
rnacentral:lncRNA from 1 species